rnacentral:rRNA from 1 species
UACGUAGGGGGCAAGCGUUGUCCGGAUUUAUUGGGCGUAAAGAGCGCGUAGGCGGCCAAACAAGUCCGUUGUGAAAACUGGAGGCUCAACCUCCAGACGUCGACGGAAACCGUGUGGCUAGAGUCCGGAAGAGGAGAGUGGAAUUCCUGGUGUAGCGGUGAAAUGCGCAGAUAUCAGGAAGAACACCAAUGGCGAAGGCAGCUCUCUGGGACGGUACUGACGCUGAGACGCGAAAGCGUGGGGAGCGAACAGG